GAAAGCUUGGAAAAUAAACCGUCCGUCUACGCCAGCAGGCUGACGUGCCGGGCGCCUAAUUUUCAGUCGCUUUC
rnacentral:ncRNA from 1 species